UUGAAUUUCAGUUGUGCCAGUUGUAAUGUCUCCUUGGAUGAAAUGUUCCAUAUAUAUCUGUUAAGUCCAUUUGUUCCAAGGUAUAGUUUAAAUCCAUUGUUUUUGUUCUUAUCUGUUCUGCAGUUCUGUAUAUUUUAAGUGGAGCAUUUAGGCCAUUUACAUUCAAUGAUAGUACUGAAAUGUGACGUACCAUUGCAUUCAUCACGCGCUUUGUUGCCUCUGUAAUUUUUUUUUUUUCAUUUUGGUGUUUUUGCUUUUUAACUUGUAUGUUUGUUUUAUAGGUCCUCUGUGAUUUAUGCUUUAAAGAGGUUCUGUUCUGAUGUGUUUCCAGGAUUUGUUUCAAGAUUUAGAGCUCCUUUUAGCAGUUCUUGUAGCGGUGGCUUGGUAAUGGCAAAUUCUCCCAGGAUUUGUUUGUCUGAAAAUG
rnacentral:lncRNA from 10 species